CACGUAGAUGGCUUUGUAAGUCGGAUGUGAAAUCCCCGGGCUCAACCUGGGAACUGCAUUCGAAACUGCAUUGCUCGAAUGUGGAAGAGGGAAGCGGAAUUCCAGGUGUAGCGGUGAAAUGCGUAGAUAUCUGGAGGAACAUCAGUGGCGAAGGCGGCUUCCUGGUCCAACAUUGACAUUCAGGUGCGAAAGCGUGGGGAGCAAACAGGAUUAGAUACCCUGGUAGUCCACGCCAUAAACGAUGAGAACUAGAUGUCGGGAGGGUUAGCCUUCCGGUGUCGCAGCUAACGCGUUAAGUUCUCCGCCUGGGGAGUACGGCCGCAAGGUUGAA
rnacentral:rRNA from 1 species